GCUCAGUUGGUUAAGUGUCCAACCCGAUUUCGGCUCAGGUCAUGAUCUUGUGGGUCGUGGGUUCAAGUCCCACACUGGGCG
rnacentral:tRNA from 1 species